GCUAGGGUGGCAGAGUCUGGUUACUGUAAAAGGUCUAAGCCCUUUGAACAGAGGUUCAAAUCCUCUCCCUAGCU
rnacentral:tRNA from 1 species